rnacentral:rRNA from 1 species
UACGGAGGGUGCAAGCGUUGCUCGGAAUUAUUGGGCGUAAAGGGUAGGUAGGUGGUCUCAUUUGUCUGGGGUGAAAGCCUUGAGCUUAACUCAAGAAGUGCCCCAGAAACGGUGAGACUAGAGUCCUAGAGAGGGUCGUGGAAUUCCCGGUGUAGCGGUGAAAUGCGUAGAGAUCGGGAGGAACACCAGAGGCGAAGGCGGCGACCUGGAUAGGCACUGACACUCAACUACGAAAGCGUGGGGGAGCAAACAGG